rnacentral:rRNA from 1 species
UACGAAGGGGGGCUAGCGUUGUUCGGAAUUACUGGGCGUAAAGCGCACGUAGGCGGAUAUUUAAGUCAGGGGUGAAAUCCCAGAGCUCAACUCUGGAACUGCCUUUGAUACUGGGUAUCUUGAGUAUGGAAGAGGUGAGUGGAAUUCCGAGUGUAGAGGUGAAAUUCGUAGAUAUUCGGAGGAACACCAGUGGCGAAGGCGG